rnacentral:lncRNA from 1 species
CUGCACUCCACAGGCAGGCCAGCUUAGGGGAGUGCAGACUGGUUGUCAAGACAAAGAGUGUAUUUAACAGCAAGCAUGAGCUCCAGUGACCAAAGUCACAGGCACCCAGAAAAAGGAAGUGCCAGACCAUAGAGUUAUAGGCGCUCUCAGAGACACUAUCCUCUUGAAAAUCUUGUCCAGCUGAGCAGUGACCUCUGUGGUGUCUUGAAAGCGGGGACAGGAGGAAGAGAGGAAGUAAGGGUAGGGUGGAAGGGGGAUUGCAUAUCCACCACCAGGUGAUUCUACUGGCAGAGCUGAGCAGGUCACAGCCAGUGUGGCCUUUGCAUCCUGGGUUGGUGACAGAUCACAACAGUUGUCUUGGGAGAACAGGCUCGGA